rnacentral:misc_RNA from 1 species
GCUUAAUCCAGCUAGUAGCCAAUAAAAGUAAUCAAGAUGACCACGAUUCAAAUUGUUGGCGAACCAACUAUCAUGCCCUUGCCCACUUGUAAUUUUUUCAAUGGCAGAGAUAAGAAAGCUGCUAAGAAAGCUCCCUACACCGAAGAUGCUGAGGUAGAGAGAAAGACCCACACUUCGUAAUUCCCUAGGGACCUGAUCAUAGAAGAAU